rnacentral:rRNA from 1 species
GAUGAACGCUGGCGGCGUGCCUAAUACGUGCAAGUCGAGCGAACAGAUAAGGAGCUUGCUCCUUUGACGUUAGCGGCGGACGGGUGAGUAACACGUGGAUAACCUACCUAUAAGACUGGGAUAACUUCGGGAAACCGGAGCUAAUACCGGAUAACAUAUUGAACCGCAUGGUUCAAUAGUGAAAGGCGGCUUUGCUGUCACUUAUAGAUGGAUCCGCGCCGUAUUAGCUAGUUGGUAAGGUAACGGCUUACCAAGGCAACGAUACGUAGCCGACCUGAGAGAGUGAUCGGCCACACUGGAACUGAGACACGGUCCAGACUCCUACGGAAGGCAGCAGUGGGGAAUCUUCCGCGAUGGGAGAAAGCCUGACGGAGCAAAGCCGCGUGAAUGAUGAAGGUCUUCGGAUCGUAAAACACUGUUAUCAGGGAAGAACAAAUGUGUAGGUAACUGUGCACAGCUUGACGGUACCUGAUCAGAAAGCCACGGCUAACUAAGAG